rnacentral:tmRNA from 1 species
GGGGGCGAACGGGCUCGACAGGGCCGGUUUGAUUCUCGAUCGCGAGCCGUGGAUUCUCGUUGGCCACGUAAAAAACGGGAAACAAAAGUAGCUGCGAAUAACAACUACGCCUUCGCUGCCUAACUUAAAAGUUAGCAACUAGCGAGGUCCGCUCCCCACGAGCCGGUAGGGGGGAAUUGCGGGCCUAAUAAAAUCCGGAUCGGCCGCCUAGUCUCUGUUCGGGGCGAAGCGGGCUAAAGCAAUCGAACUGGAUGAUCCGCCCAGGUGGCCCCGGCAGAGGGCGGCAUCGAGAAAAGGUACAGGGGAGACGCUCGUGGUGAUAGAGAAGGCGACGGUUUUGGAAGGGGGUUCAACUCCCCCCGCCUCCACCA